rfam:Bacillus sp. 1NLA3E, complete genome.
AAUUAUAUAACAUUUGUACCGCAGACAGUAGGUGUCAACUUGACUUAAUAUCCUACCGAGGUCAUACGAUAGAUUUUAAGAUUCACUAUUGUAUACAAUCCUCCAUGUCUGCUCGACGUGGAGGUUUUUUAUUGGCCGG